rnacentral:rRNA from 1 species
ACCUAGCGGCGGACGGGUGAGUAAUGCUUAGGAAUCUGCCUAUUAGUGGGGGACAACAUUCCGAAAGGAAUGCUAAUACCGCAUACGCCCUACGGGGGAAAGCAGGGGAUCUUCGGACCUUGCGCUAAUAGAUGAGCCUAAGUCAGAUUAGCUAGUUGGUGGGGUAAAGGCCUACCAAGGCGACGAUCUGUAGCGGGUCUGAGAGGAUGAUCCGCCACACUGGGACUGAGACACGGCCCAGACUCCUACGGGAGGCAGCAGUGGGGAAUAUUGGACAAUGGGCGAAAGCCUGAUCCAGCCAUGCCGCGUGUGUGAAGAAGGCCUUUUGGUUGUAAAGCACUUUAAGCGAGGAGGAGGCUACUUGGAUUAAUACUCUAGGAUAGUGGACGUUACUCGCAGAAUAAGCACCGGCUAACUCUGUGCCAGCAGCCGCGGUAAUACAGAGGGUGCGAGCGUUAAUCGGAUUUACUGGGCGUAAAGCGUGCGUAGGCGGCUUUUUAAGUCGGAUGUGAAAUCCCUGAGCUUAACUUAGGAAUUGCAUUCGAUACUGGGAAGCUAGAGUAUGGGAGAGGAUGGUAGAAUUCCAGGUGUAGCGGUGAAAUGCGUAGAGAUCUGGAGGAAUACCGAUGGCGAAGGCAGCCAUCUGGCCUAAUACUGACGCUGAGGUACGAAAGCAUGGGGAGCAAACAGGAUUAGAUACCCUGGUAGUCCAUGCCGUAAACGAUGUCUACUAGCCGUUGGGGCCUUUGAGGCUUUAGUGGCGCAGCUAACGCGAUAAGUAGACCGCCUGGGGAGUACGGUCGAAGACUA